rnacentral:rRNA from 1 species
UCCUACGGGAGGCAGCAGUGGGGAAUAUUGCACAAUGGGCGCAAGCCUGAUGCAGCGACGCCGCGUGAGGGAUGACGGCCUUCGGGUUGUAAACCUCUUUCAGUAGGGAAGAAGCGAAAGUGACGGUACCUGCAGAAGAAGCGCCGGCUAACUACGUGCCAGCAGCCGCGGUAAUACGUAGGGCGCAAGCGUUAUCCGGAAUUAUUGGGCGUAAAGAGCUCGUAGGCGGUUUGUCGCGUCUGCCGUGAAAGUCCGGGGCUCAACUCCGGAUCUGCGGUGGGUACGGGCAGACUAGAGUGAUGUAGGGGAGACUGGAAUUCCUGGUGUAGCGGUGAAAUGCGCAGAUAUCAGGAGGAACACCGAUGGCGAAGGCAGGUCUCUGGGCAUUAACUGACGCUGAGGAGCGAAAGCAUGGGGAGCGAACAGGAUUAGAUACCCUGGUAGUCCAUGCCGUAAACGUUGGGCACUAGGUGUGGGGGACAUUCCACGUUUUCCGCGCCGUAGCUAACGCAUUAAGUGCCCCGCCUGGGGAGUACGGCCGCAAGGCUAAAACUCAAAGGAAUUGACGGA